rnacentral:rRNA from 1 species
UGAGGGAAUAUUGGGUCAAUGGGCGGAAGCCUGAACCAGCCAAGUAGCGUGAGGGAUGACUGCCCUAUGGGUUGUAAACCUCUUUUAUAAGGGAAUAAAAUACGGGACGUGUCCUGUUUUGCAUGUACCUUAUGAAUAAGGACCGGCUAAUUCCGUGCCAGCAGCCGCGGUAAUACGGAAGGUCCGGGCGUUAUCCGGAUUUAUUGGGUUUAAAGGGAGCGUAGGCGGUCUGGUAAGUCAGCUGUGAAAGCGCGGGGCUCAACUCCGCGCCUGCAGUUGAUACUGUCGGACUUGAGUGCACGCAGGGAUGCCGGAAUUCAUGGUGUAGCGGUGAAAUGCUUAGAUAUCAUGAAGAACUCCGAUCGCGAAGGCAGGUGUCCGGAGUGCUACUGACGCUGAGGCUCGAAAGUGUGGGUAUCAAACAGGAUUAGAUACCCUGGUAGU